GACCGACAUCAUGGCUUCGUUUUUCGAACCUUGGCCAACAGCCAGGUAAGAGGUCAUGCCCAGCUCUUUCAUCUCCUGCUCGCCGAUGAUUUUGGUCGAGACUGUCUCGAAGUCAUCAGCCAGGCGGCGUGCUUGGGAGGCUAGGUAGGCAGGGUUGGCCACGUUUGGCGGCAUGUUGCCGAGAUCUUUGCC
rnacentral:antisense_RNA from 1 species